ACUGUCGAAUAAACGACCGGCACCCAUAACAAGGACACACAACUCUCUCCCAGCGCUCUUGUUCAUAAGCCAACAGCGAGUGUGUAAGAGUCUCUUGAUCUUAGGUCGCCAGUAUGUGCGAACCGACCGUUAGAUUAAUAAAUUAAUUUUUUGUGACGAGUGAUUAUCACGUGUGACUAUAUCGUUUUUAAAUUCAUUUUUCCAUUUAACUUCUCUGUGCAAGUGUUGAGAAGAGUCCAGUUUCGGUACAUCAAAUCCUGUGUCUAUUUCACUUAAUUUCAAACUCAUUAUACUCGCGUCCAAUGUUCGAUCGAUUUAUGUGUUUUUCAAUUCCGAUCACUGUAGCGCUCCUACCGUACGCGACCACUACGCGUGAUUGCUUUCUGCUUCCUCUGCGGGUGGCCCCGAAUCCUGGUCUAGAUGACUGAAAGACCAAGGUGUGUUCGGUUGAAGUUCUAUUUGCGCUGCAACAACGUUCGAUCUCCGAUCGGGUUAUCUUCACGUGUCUUGCUCAUACUUUUCCCGCUUUAACUCUUCGAGGUUUCACGUAUCACGGUUGUUGCGCCGGCGCAACACCCGCAUCUGAAGAACCGCGAGACGGCCCACUGGUCCGUGAUGAACACGACGUCGGUAGUCGGACGGGUGGCCGUUACGGAUUGCGGCUCUCAAACGGACCCCAUGUCUGUCACUGCCGUCGGCACUCGAGUGGCCAACCACGACGUCACGUGCGGCGAUUCCGGCGUAACGUUUGCAGACGGGUGCACGACCUACCCGGUCGCCAGUGAAGUAACGUCCGACGUGACCAAAGCCAGCGGGAGGCGCUUUCCGGUCCAGAUACGAACGCGGACAUCACGGCUGUUGAUGGAGGAGACUUUGCCGCCGCCUGUAUGUUGCAGGGAGACCACAUUGACGAGUGUCACCGUGGCCGUAGGACGAGACGACGAAAUCGUUCCCUCCGUUUUACCGAAGAUAGAUUUUGAACUGAGCCAAAGCGAACAUGAAUAAUUAUAACAGAAACAACAGAAAAGUAGUAAACAGAAUGGAGAAAAAAAUGCUGUUAUUUUCUGAUGGAGUAUUGUCCCGUGCAUUGGAUCAGAGAAAAUAAUCUUUUCACAUACGACAAUUACCUCAAUAACAUCCAAGAAUUUUUGAAAAGCCACAAUAUCAACUGACGGAUGGAACGGACGUAAUUUUACUGUCCUCGUCUGUUUGUAAAUUUGUACAUAGAUUUUAAGUUCAAAAGUAUCUCCAGUAAAGGUAAUUCGCCCAAUCAUGGAGUCCUCGUCCGACCUAGGAGUUGUGCUCUUUUAUUAUGUGUUUACUUAUUUCCAUACUGAGAAAUCAAUUGAAAAAUUCAAAAGCAGGUGCUAUGAAAUACCUCUAUUAUCAACUGUGUAUAAUACAUUUAAAUGUUUAUAAAUGUAAACGAUAUCAUAUGAGAUUUCGAUGCUAAUUAAAGCCUAAAAAUGGGUUUAUAUAAAAAUAAAAUAUAUAUACGUAGGCUGUUCAAAAAGUAAUGGUAAUAACGUUAUCUAGAAAAAAAUAUUUAUUUAAUCAUCCAUUUUUACAAGCUCUUUUUCAAAGUAACCCCCUACGGUUAUAAUACACUUUUUCCAUCGUUCUUGCCACUUUUUAAAUAGGAGUACCAGACCAUCUAUCUUUCUCGAGCUCUUUGCACCGCGCCUCCACAGCUUUGAUGACCUCUUGAUUGCUGUUGAAUUUCCAACCCCUGAGUGGAUACUUGAUUUCAGAGAACAGCCAGAAAUCGCAUGAGGCUAAAUCUUGACUAUUCGGAGGGUGGGGUACAGUUUUGAUGCCACGAGCGUUUAAAAAAUUUAAUAUAGUAUGGGUGAUGUGGGGCCGUGCAUUAUCAUGAUGCAGUAAAAUUUUAUUAAUUUUCUUAUGGGGUCGUUUUUUUUUUUUUUUUUGAAAUGACGCAACAUUUUGGUUAAAAUUUAUUUAUAAUAUAUAAUAAAUUAUUAUUAUUUAUAAUAAAGUUAAUGAUUCAUAUGUAUAUUUUCGGUUCUUUCCAAGUUUCACUAAUAAUUUCACGUUACAACGUUGCUAUAACUUAUUACUCACAGUGGAAAUGGUAGGCGAAUAUGUACAUGCAUUAUAUAAAUUGACACUGACGCCCACUCACUGCACCGAUCGACUUGUAACUCGACAUUUAGAUAGAUAAGAUAAUGGACUAUACGAUAAUAUGCAUUGUGAGCAGCUUUUACAACAAAUUUUCCAUCAGCAUCAUUAUUAUCAUUAAUUUUUGAACAGCCUACGUAUUUGUUAUCACUAUUUACUCUCGACUUAAAAUAAAUAUAGAAUAGUAUAUCAGUGAAAUAAUAGUUGGAAUAGAGUUAAGAAAAUCUGAAAUAAUUAAAAUAAUAAA
rnacentral:lncRNA from 1 species